rnacentral:rRNA from 1 species
GACGAACGCUGGCGGCGUGCUUAACACAUGCAAGUCGAACGAAGAGCGAUGGAAGCUUGCUUCUAUCAAUCUUAGUGGCGAACGGGUGAGUAACGCGUAAUCAACCUGCCCUUCAGAGGGGGACAACAGUUGGAAACGACUGCUAAUACCGCAUACGAUCUAACCUCGGCAUCGAGGAUAGAUGAAAGGUGGCCUCUACAUGUAAGCUAUCACUGAAGGAGGGGAUUGCGUCUGAUUAGCUAGUUGGAGGGGUAACGGCCCACCAAGGCGAUGAUCAGUAGCCGGUCUGAGAGGAUGAACGGCCACAUUGGGACUGAGACACGGCCCAGACUCCUACGGGAGGCAGCAGUGGGGAAUCUUCCGCAAGGGACGAAAGUCUGACGGAGCAACGCCGAGUGAGUGAUGACGGCCGUCGGGUUGGAAAGCUCUGUUAAUCGGGACGAAAGGCCUUCUUGCGAAUAGUUAGAAGGAUUGACGGUACCGGAAUAGAAAGCCACGGCUAACUACGUG